rnacentral:tRNA from 1 species
GGUGCAGUAGGUCAAUAGAUAGACCGGCCCCCUACCAGAGGCAUGUUGGUGGUUCAAAUCCAUCCUGCACCACCA